GGCCACAAACACACAUCAUCUGAAAGUGAGGGGCAUAGGGAAGUCUUUCAUUUUUUAGAGGAACACACACACAACUCUCAUGGCCACAGAAUAAGACACGGGGAGGAGGAGGAAGUUGACCAUAGACACAUAAAAGCAGAAACUGGAGCACAUCGAAUCACUGAAAAACCUGGGAGAGAAGGAGGGGGUCAUGGGAACGCAAAACAUUCUUUCAGGAAAGAGGAAGAAGACCAACAGGAAAAAGAAAAAAGGAAUAAAAAAGGACUUCUGAAACUUCUGAACUCAGGAGAGCUUGAAGUCAAACAGUUAUUAGGGGU